GGACCAUGGCUCCAUGGCAGAGCAUCUGCUUGGAAUGCAGAAGGGCCCCAGAUUCAAUUCCUGACAUCUCCA
rnacentral:tRNA from 1 species